rnacentral:rRNA from 1 species
ACGGGAGGCAGCAGUGGGGAAUAUUGGACAAUGGGGGAAACCCUGAUCCAGCGACGCCGCGUGAGUGAAGAAGUAUUUCGGUAUGUAAAGCUCUAUCAGCAGGGAAGAUAAUGACGGUACCUGACUAAGAAGCCCCGGCUAACUACGUGCCAGCAGCCGCGGUAAUACGUAGGGGGCAAGCGUUAUCCGGAUUUAUUGGGUUUAAAGGGUGCGUAGGCGGAUGAGUAAGUCAGCGGUGAAAUACCCCAGCUCAACUGGGGGGCUGCCGUUGAUACUGCUUAUCUAGAGUGCGAACGGCGCCGGCGGAAUGUGUCAUGUAGCGGUGAAAUGCUUAGAGAUGACACAGAACACCGAUCGCGAAGGCAGCUGGCGAGCACGACACUGACGCUGAGGCACGAAGGUGCGGGGAUCAAACAGGAUUAGAUACCCUGGUA